ACACCACACUGCUGGUACAACCCCUGCAUUCCCACAGAGCAGUCACAUCCCCACAGAAAGAUGACAGCUUUUUCCCUAUUAUUGGUGUACCAGGUGCUAUUUUGUCUCUCGCUGACAACCGUCAUUGAGAUACUGUUUCAGCAGAGGUAAUCUGAUCACCGGAGGGAGCAUGAACGUGACACAGGAAUGUCUGUGGGUAUCUGAAGCAGUGCAUCCCUUUGGAGAUUGGUGAUUUUAAUCACAAAAAUCUCCUGCUGUGUGCACCCUAAUUAUAUCAGAGGUCUCUUCACAUAUUGCGUACUCAUUGGAAGACAGCAUGCUUAAAUAUUUUCAGUCACACACCUGGAGAACACAAGGCAGUAAGAAAAUUCUGUGUUCUCACUAGGUGAAAAAGUAAGUAUUAGAAUCUCAGCUAAAACAGAAGAUCAUCUGCUCUGAAUUCAAGCUGAUCCACAGACUUGACACUGCGUGCCAACACUAAGGAAAGCUUAGAUGGUGAUACGCCAAUCCAUAAUGUCAAAACUGAGUAUGGGAGUAUGAUGAAUGUUAUGAUGAAAACUGAGUAUGUUUUACCACUGCAUGCUGCUGCACUGCUGAGUAAGCCCACUUUGUAUCUCACAGAAGCUGGGCAGAUAUAUAAUUGGAUAUCAAAGAGAGAAAGCUUUGAUAGAGACAUUUUGUAAAUUUGUAUAAGCAGAGCAUUUAUUUUAAAAAAACAAACAACUAAAAAAAAAAAAACAAAACAAAAACCAACCAACCAAAAAACCCACCUUCCCUGGGCUAAAUUCACAGCUGAGGUGGAAUUUGGGGUUAAAAGCAGUAUGAAAAAAAAAAAAAAAAAAGAAGAUACUCCUUCAGGAAUGCAGAAAACUCAGGCUCUGAGUUUGAUUGUGCUCCGCUUAUGAACCACUGUAAGAAGACAUCACAUCUGCUCCCGGUACGGAAAUUGAGCUUGGCAUCAGAUGCAUGUGUGCCUCUUUUCAACUCCAACAGUCCGGCAGCUGGGAUGAAGCACAGCAUUACAACCACUGGAAAAAUACAAACAGCGAUUUGCAGUUUCUGGCCAAUGGCUCCACCUGCUCUGCGUGGCAAAGGCCCCAUUCCUCACCUCACCCUUAAAACUGUCAGUAGGCACUUUAGUGCAUGAGGUGGAGAGUAUCACUCAGAGUAGGAGAGAGAGGUUCUGCUGGAGGACCACCCUCCCCAGGCUCAGUGCAGCACCCACACAGAACUCAUCAAAACCAAUGUGAAAAAGCUGCAAGAUACAUCCAAUGGCUGAUUUACAAAGCAGAUUUUUUCCUUCUCAACACUUUUUUCAGUAAUGUCCAUUAUCAAUAUUUGGUCCUGUCAAAAUGACUGUAUGUUGAAGAUGUGUUGUUGCUGUAAGUAGAACAUACACAUGGGCAGCCAGACAUCAAAAACACAGGCAGAAACUAAGUCAUGUGAUGCUUUUAGUGCAAUCUGUGCUGACAACUAAAAUGUGUACUUUUUUAUGGACAGAUGAAAAAGAAAAACGUGAAGUUAUUCUCUAGUACUGGUGUUAAUGUAUGGGGAGCAUUUCAGAGAGCAUGAAUCUUGCAGGGACUAGCAAAUGUUAUCUACCAGCUGAUGAGUUUCCUGCAUUAAUGGAUUGGCUGCUCUCCAGACUGAACCUCCUGUAUGAAAAUAGGCACAUUUGUGAAGAGUUUACUCAGCAAAUUCUUCCUUUUCAACAAAGAAACUAACACCUUCCCAAAUCUUUGUAGUGUUUGUGUUACAAUGGCAAAUGAAUAUACAUGUGCAGACAAUGCUAAAUCCUAAACUGGUUUCUUGGAGAAAUUCAGUUAUCAUAGACGGCGUUAUAUUUUGCUUUUCAGAUACUAAUAAUGCUUUAACUUUUGGCCUCAAGCAAAGGGG
ensembl:lncRNA